GAGUCGAUCUGUAGAACCACGAUUUGGGAGAGAGUAACAAGCCUGGGUGAAGGGAAAAUCGUGCCGCUGAGACUGAAGCAGUUUCAUGGUUUGGGGAGUCCGCAGGGCUGGAAUUGUGGAUGAAAGACAGGAGACUUCGAGGAGUGUGGUGAUAAGUUGUGAGACUAUGAGGAAGAUUGGAGAGGAGUUACCAGCCUCACAGGUUGAGAGGUGAAAGGGGCCUUUAGAGGGUUUAGACUCAGCCUCCCGUUCACAAGGGAACUCUUCUAGGACAUUCCUGCAGAAUGGCCACCCGGCCUUUACUUGGAAACCUUCGGGAAUAGGAGACGUACUCUUGUGUUGGCAAGUGUAGCAGACUAGUGGAGAACACAAGUGCUUGAGCCAGACUGCCGGGGUUCAAAUCCAGGGGCCACCAGUUCCUGGUGUGGCCCCUUAGGUAUGUUACCUAGCAGCUCUGUACCUCAGUUUCUAUACUGACGACUUAGGGAUGGUGACAGUAGAUGGUUAUUUUGAGGAUUAAUUUUAUAUAUUUGAUAUUUUUUAUUUAUUCAUAAAGUAUAUAUGUCACUAAGAGCAGUGCUUGGUCUAUAAUGACAAGCAUAAGUAUUUUCUCUUGUUAUCAUCAGGCUGUUCCAUGUAUAAGAAAGUUCUUUUUCAGAUUGAAUACUGUACAUCUGGCUUCUUUUAUUCCUGCCUAUUUUCAGUCCCUGAAAUAACUCACCAGUGCUUCUCUGCUUUCCACAUUGGUACCCUCCAAACAUCUGAAGAUGUGUAUCGUGUCCCUCUCUGCUUUUCUUCCCUGUGUUGUAGAGGAGAGAAUAUGCAAACUCUGUCCCUUCUGUCCAGAACACUUUGCCUGGUCAUGUUCUAACUCAGAUUUCUCAUUUUUCAAGAUACCUUCCCACACCAGAGUAACUUACACAAUAUUUUACCCAUGUUCUCUGAGUCUGAGUAGAAAGAUAAAAGAACACAGUACAGAUUCUCACAGCCAUUUGAAUGUGUUACCAGUUCAUCAUAUGCCUUGUUCAUCUUGGUAACCCCGGCGCCCAGUACAAAAUGCUAUUGAAUAAAUUAGAUGGAACAGAGAAGAAGUUGGAUGGAUGUAAAGUGACAACCUUCUUAAAAGGCACAGAACAGUUCUCUUGGAGAACAAAGUCUUUGGAGCAAGGAGACAGGUGCUUUCAGACUCUGCUUUGCUCUGCAAAUUCCUAUUUGGGGAGAAUUGAAAAACAAAAGACAAAGAAGCAAGAAAGGACAGGAAAUCAGAAGCUCUGGGAAGUAACUUUUCCUAAGGACACAGUCCAUGCACAGCAGAACCAGGAUUCAGAGGCAAGCAGGACUCCACAAAGCGCCCAGCCAAGUGUGCGGUAGUUCCCC